rnacentral:rRNA from 1 species
AGUGAACGCUGGCGGUAGGCCUAACACAUGCAAGUCGAGCGGCAGCACAGUAAGAGCUUGCUCUUACGGGUGGCGAGUAGCGGACGAGUGAGGAAUACAUCGGAAUCUACUUUUUCGUGGGGGAUAACGUAGGGAAACUUACGCUAAUACCGCAUACGACCUACGGGUGAAAGCAGAGGAUCUUCGGACCUUGCGCGAUUGAAUGAGCCGAUGUCGGAUUAGUUAGGUGGCGGGGUAGAGGACCACCAAGGCGACGAUCCGUAGCUGGUCUGAGAGGAUGGUCAGCCACAGUGGAACGGAGACACGGUCCAGACUACGACGGGAGGCAGCAGUGGGGAAUAUUGGACAAGGGGCGCAAGGCUGAUGCAGCCAUACCGCGUGGGUGAAGAAGGUCGUAGGGUUGUAAAGCCCUUUUGUUGGGAAAGAAAUGCAGCAGGUUAAUACCCCGCUGUUCUGACGGUACCCAAAGAAUAAGCACCGGCUAACUUCG